rnacentral:rRNA from 1 species
AACGAACGCUGGCGGCAUGCCUAACGCAUGCAAGUCGAACGAGACCGCUGACUUCGGUUGGCGCGUCUAGUGGCGCACGGGUGCGUAACGCGUGGGAAUCUGCCCUUGGGUACGGAACAACAGUUAGAAAUGACUGCUAAUACCGUAUAAUGACUUCGGUCCAAAGAUUUAUCGCCCAGGGAUGAGCCCGCGUAGGAUUAGCUUGUUGGUGAGGUAAAGGCUCACCAAGGCGACGAUCCUUAGCUGGUCUGAGAGGAUGAUCAGCCACACUGGGACUGAGACACGGCCCAGACUCCUACGGGAGGCAGCAGUGGGGAAUAUUGGACAAUGGGCGCAAGCCUGAUCCAGCAAUGCCGCGUGAGUGAUGAA